CGUGUAGGCGGCUAUGCAAGUCGGGUGUGAAAGCCCUGGGCUUAACCUAGGAAGUGCACUCGAAACUGCAUAGCUCGAGUCCCGGAGAGGAUGGUGGAAUUCUCGGUGUAGAGGUGAAAUUCGUAGAUAUCGAGAGGAACACCUGUGGCGAAGGCGGCCAUCUGGACGGGCACUGACGCUGAGACGCGAAAGCGUGGGUAGCAAACA
rnacentral:rRNA from 1 species